UACGGGGGGAGCAAGCGUUGUUCGGAUUUACUGGGCGUAAAGGGCGCGUAGGCGGCCACUGCAAGUCAGUUGUGAAAUCUCCGGGCUUAACCCGGAAAGGUCAACUGAUACUGCAGGGCUAGAGUGCAGAAGGGGCAACUGGAAUUCUCGGUGUAGCGGUGAAAUGUGUAGAUAUCGAGAGGAACACCUGCGGCGAAGGCGGGUUGCUGGGCUGACACUGACGCUGAGGCGCGAAAGCCAGGGGAGCGAACGGG
rnacentral:rRNA from 1 species